GAUGAAGAACGUAGCGAAAUGCGAUAAGUAAUGUGAAUUGCAGAAUUCAGUGAAUCAUCGAAUCUUUGAACGCACAUUGCGCCCGCCAGUAUUCUGGCGGGCAUGCCUGUUCGAGCGUCAUUUCAACCAUCAAGCCCCAGGCUUGUGUUGGAGCCCUGCGGCUGCCGCAGCCUCCCAAAACCAGUGGCGGGCUCGCUAUCACACCGAGUGCAGUAGUUUACUCUUCGCUCAGGGCGUGUGGCGGGUGCUAGCCGUGAAACCCCCAACUUCUCAAUGUUGACCUCGGAUCAGGUAGGAAUACCCGCUGAACUUAAGCAUAUCAAUAAGCGGAGGA
rnacentral:misc_RNA from 1 species